rfam:Salmon pancreas disease virus complete genome, isolate F93125, genomic RNA
GAGGGUGGUCAGCCCUGCUGGUCAUCCUU